rnacentral:rRNA from 1 species
GCAAGUCGAACGCUUCUUUUUCCACCGGAGCUUGCUCCACCGGAAAAAGAAGAGUGGUUAACGGGUGAGUAACACGUGGGUAACCUGCCCAUCACAAGGGGAUAACACUUGGAAACAGGUGCUAAUACCGUAUAACAAUCGAAACCGCAUGGUUUUGAUUUGAAAGGCGCUUUCGGGUGUCGCUGAUGGAUGGACCCGCGGUGCAUUAGCUAGUUGGUGAGGUAACGGCUCACCAAGGCUACGAUGCAUAGCCGACCUGAGAGGGUGAUCGGCCACAUUGGGACUGAGACACGGCCCACACUCCUACGGGAGGCAGCAGUAGGGAAUCUUCGGCAAUGGACGAAAGUCUGACCGAGCAACGCCGCGUGAGUGAAGAAGGUUUUCGGAUCGUAAAACUCUGUUGUUAGAGAAGAACAAGGAUGAGAGUAACUGUUCAUCCCUUGACGGUAUCUAACCAGAAAGCCACGGCUAACUACGUGCCAGCAGCCGCGGUAAUACGUAGGUGGCAAGCGUUGUCCGGAUUUAUUGGGCGUAAAGCGAGCGCAGGCGGUUUUCUUAAGUCUGAUGUGAAAGCCCCCGGGCUCAACCGGGGGAGGGUCAUUGGAAACUGGGAGACUUGAGUGCAGAAGGAGGAGAGUGGAAUUCCAUGUGUAGCGGUGGAAAUGCGUAGAUAUAUGGAGGAACACCAGUGGCGAAGGCGGCUCUCUGGUCUGUAACUGACGCUGAGGCUCGAAAGCGUGGGGAGCAAACAGGAUUAGAUACCCUGGUAGUCCACGCCGUAAACGAUGAGUGCUAAGUGUUGGAGGGUUUCCGCCCUUCAGUGCUGCAGCUAACGCAUUAAGCACUCCGCCUGGGGGAGUACGACCGCAAGGUUGAAACUCAAAGGAAUUGGCGGGGGCCCGCACAGGGGUUGUAGCAUGUGGUUUAAUUCGAAGCACCGCGAAGAACCUUUCCAGGUCUUGAAAUCCUUUGACCACUCUAGAGAUAGAGCUUCCCCUUUGGGGGCAAAUGAACAGUUGGUGCAUGGUUGUUGUCAGGCUCGUGUCGUGAGAUGUUGGGUUAAGUCCCGCAACGAGCGCAACCCUUAUUGUUAGUUGCCACAUUCAGUUGGGCACUCUAGCAAGACUGCCGGUGACAAACCGGAGGAAGGUGGGGAUGACGUCAAAUCAUCAUGCCCCUUAUGACCUGGGCUACACACGUGCUAGAAUGGGAAGUACAACGAGUCGCGAAGUCGCGAGGCUAAGCUAAUCUCUUAAAGCUUCUCUCAGUUCGGAUUGUAGGCUGCAACUCGCCUACAUGAAGCCGGAAUCGCUAGUAAUCGCGGAUCAGCACGCCGCGGUGAAUACGUUCCCGGGCCUUGUACACACCGCCCGUCACACCACGAGAGUUUGUAACACCCGAAGUCGGUGAGGUAACCUUUGGAGCCA